UUCCGAUUACCCCCCCCCCCCCCAAAUGUUUGCCCUACCCUCACCCUUUACCCCAAAAUCUAGAAAAUCCCUAAAGUAAACCAUCUUCCUCUUCAUCACUCAUCAGUUUCUGAAAAUUGAAAUCCCUCUCCCGUUCAGCCGUCUCUCACCCAUCUCCGGUUAAACCAUCUUUCUUCGUCAUUUUAUGGAACUUUCCUGAAAAUUGUUUGUUCAUUAGUUUUUGCUUGCUCGGCGUCGCAUCGAAACAACUCAAGUUCAGGUUUUUCUGUUUUCUUUUCCGGUAAUUUUGUUCUUAAUGAUAUUUUAAUCCAAAACCUUUUUCAUUUAAAAUUUUUUAGUGAAAAUAUUUUGGAUAUAGUGUAAAAUGGUAUUGAGUCUGAAGAAUAUACAUGCGUGGUGGAUUUGAAAUAUUAAGGGAAAAACCCAAAUCUUUGCACCCAUAAAACAAGAUAUUUGCAAUUGUGGUGUUUGGUUUGUUCAUGAGAACAGUAUCAUAGUUUUUCAUCAUUUCUUUUAAGGAGUUAGUUGAUGAUACAACUAAGGUUGGAUUUUGACCUAAUUUCAGAAACGUUAAUGACCUAUAUUUGAGUGAAAGGUUCUGAAAGGAUCGAUGGGGGAGUUUCACAAGUUCAAAAAGGUGGCCAAUGAUCGGUAACUUUGGGGGAGAAUGAGUUAAAUUAUGUAAUUUGUGUUUUGGUAGUUUAAGCCAAAGUAAAAAAAAAAAAAGAAACGAGAGAAAGAAAAUAUGAAAGAGAGAAACAAUGGGUUGUAAAGUUUAAUUUCAUUGAUGAGCUCUAUUAAUGGUGGUAUCUCCAAUCUUUUGCAGAUUAAAUUAUGAACUAAAUAAGAAAAACUCAUAUUGAGCAUUUUUAUUUAUUUUCUUAUUUUUUUUGCAAUAUAAAAUUCCAUCAAUUGAGCAUGACUUCGAUAUUUUUAGAUUUUUUUUUGUUUCAAGUGGAGUCAGGUUUAACCUGAAAGCAAGAGUUAAAGUAUCAAUUCUAUCUUUAAUGGUGCAUGUUAAAACAAUCUAGCAAACAUAAACAUUUGAUGUUUGUGAUGGGUGUCAGUUAAAGCUUCAAUUCUAUCUUUAAUGGUGCAUUUUCUUUUAAUUAUUAUUUAAGAAUUUUAUUUUUAUCGACAAGUUGGAUUUAGAGAGAUGUUACCAUUACUACGAAUCAGUUUUGGGAUAAAGGAAUUUGGUUUUCAACAAUUAUUUGGACUGUUGCAUAUUUUUAAUUUCUUGGAGUGGUAGCAGUGUAUUGGUUCCUCCCAAAAUGAAGUUGAAUUUGUAGUUUGAAGUGACAAAUUGAUGCAUAUUACUCUACCCUUAGUCAUAGUGAAAGCUUGAAUUAAGGUUUUUAAGGUCGACAGACAUGAUUAAGCUUUUAUUCAAACAAAUAUAUUCGAUUCGAUUCGAAUUUUAUUUCACUCGACUCGGUUUGAGAAAAUUUUAAAUCGAGUUAGGAUGAUAAAAUAGAUUUCGUCAACUUGAUUAACUCAGAAUUUUUUCAUUCGAUUCGAUUCCAGCGAACACUCACCCCUAAUGAGUAGCAUUGAGUAAAGCUUGUAUAGUAACCCUGAUCUGAAACUUGUGUGAGCAGCUGAAAUAUGAAAACAAUAGCUAAACGAAAAUGAAAUGGUUGAAAAUAUUGAAUAUGAAAUUAAUGGUUAAGUUUACAAAAUGAGCAAAGUUGAAUUGCAUGAUAAUAACGAUAUGGUAGUGCUUGCAUAUGAAUUGAGAAUUAUAAUCUUGUAGUAUUAAUGAACUAAUCUCUUAGUCAUCUUUUGAAAUUAUAUAUGUCAUGCUAUGCUCAAAUGCGUUUCAAUUACUUAAACUAAUUGUAGUGUCAAGGUAAGUUAAAGUUGAUUUUCAUAUGGACUUACUAAGCAUUUUUUAUGCUUAACCGUUGAUUUCUUUUCUCCCUGUAGAUUGAUACUUGCUGAACGUGUUGGUCAAAUCAACUUGAGAAUCACGCUAUCCUACUUUUGACUUGAUAGUCCUUGUUUAUAUGGCAUCAUUUCAUAACUCGGACCCGACGAUCAGAUCGGACAAGGGGUGUUACAAAGUUUCAGUGCUUAAAAAAUCAUAUGAAUUAUAUAAAUUUUGAUUUGGUGUAAUUAUGUAUAUAAAAUUUUAGUUGUGGACUUUGAUUUUGAUUUAAAGAAAUAAAUAUAUCUAUUUAUUUUUA